CCUGGCCUGUGGAGGCUUUUAAUUCUCAAAAUAUUGUGUCUUAGUGACUAGUGGAGGAGAUGAACCUGCUGACCUCCUGGCACAGAGAAGCCUCUUGACAGUGGGCUUUGGUCACAGAGAUGGGCAUUCUGAUGAAAGUUUGUACUUGGUCAUAUAGCUGGGCCUUGUGUUUGGCAUCAUCACCUGCCUGGGCCCAGGAUGGCACACAAGCUGGGUGGCGAGCUGGGUACACCACCAUGACUCAGCAUCAUCUCAAAGGUUGAGUAAUAUUUGAAUGGCCUCUUCUGCCUAUUGUUGCCUUGGUGAAUGGUACUCCUUGGUAUAGAUUUAUGGUCAGGAUGGAGUUCUAAGGCACUAUUUCUUUGACUGUCAUUCUCCUAUGAAACCCCUAGAUCUCACUAACCCCAAACACUGAGUCUUUAUUGAAACCAGAAUGGACCCUAAUGAGAAUGGGUACGAGACAGCGAUAAGCCUGGCAGGGUGGCUCAUGCCUGUAAUCCCAGCACUUUGAGAGGCUGGGGCAGGGGGAUCACUUGAGCUCAGGAGUUUUGAGAGUAGCCUGGGCAAUACAGGAAGAACUUGUUUCUUACCAAAAAAAGUAACAACAACAACAACAA